GGAUCAUUACAAGAACGCCCGGGCUUCGGCCUGGUUAUUCAUAACCCUUUGUUGUCCGACUCUGUUGCCUCCGGGGCGACCCUGCCUUCGGGCGGGGGCUCCGGGUGGACACUUCAAACUCUUGCGUAACUUUGCAGUCUGAGUAAACUUAAUUAAUAAAUUAAAACUUUUAACAACGGAUCUCUUGGUUCUGGCAUCGAUGAAGAACGCAGCGAAAUGCGAUAAGUAAUGUGAAUUGCAGAAUUCAGUGAAUCAUCGAAUCUUUGAACGCACAUUGCGCCCCCUGGUAUUCCGGGGGGCAUGCCUGUUCGAGCGUCAUUUCACCACUCAAGCCUCGCUUGGUAUUGGGCAACGCGGUCCGCCGCGUGCCUCAAAUCGUCCGGCUGGGUCUUCUGUCCCCUAAGCGUUGUGGAAACUAUUCGCUAAAGGGUGUUCGGGAGGCUACGCCGUAAAACAACCCCAUUUCUAAGGUUGACCUCGGAUCAGGUAGGGAUACCCGCUGAACUUAAGCAUAUCAAUAAGCGGAGGAAAAGAAACCAACAGGGAUUGCUCUAGUAACGGCGAGUGAAGCAGCAAUAGCUCAAAUUUGAAAUCUGGCGUCUUCGACGUCCGAGUUGUAAUUUGUAGAGGAUGCUUCUGAGUGGCCACCGACCUAAGUUCCUUGGAACAGGACGUCAUAGAGGGUGAGAAUCCCGUAUGCGGUCGGAAAGGCGCUCUAUACGUAGCUCCUUCGACGAGUCGAGUUGUUUGGGAAUGCAGCUCUAAAUGGGAGGUAAAUUUCUUCUAAAGCUAAAUAUUGGCCAGAGACCGAUAGCGCACAAGUAGAGUGAUCGAAAGAUGAAAAGCACUUUGGAAAGAGAGUUAAAAAGCACGUGAAAUUGUUAAAAGGGAAGGGAUUGCAACCAGACUAGCUCGCGGUGUUCCGCCGGUCUUCUGACCGGUCUACUCGCCGCGUUGCAGGCCAGCAUCGUCUGGUGCCGCUGGAUAAGACUUGAGGAAUGUAGCUCCCUCGGGAGUGUUAUAGCCUCUUGUGAUGCAGCGAGCGCCGGGCGAG
rnacentral:rRNA from 1 species